CCUCUACUGACUCUCCAACAAGGAUGACUGUUGACACUAAGAUCAGAGCAGGAUGGGCCAUAACGGAGGGUACCUUGGAGAUUAAACUGAAGCAAGGAGGAAAUAAAGUAAACUUUCCAACCAACACCAAUGGUGGGCUUGGAUCACUGGGAAACAGUCUAUGCACUAUUGGAAGAGGAGACACUCAAUCUGUUUAAAGACCAAAAUGCCGCCAGUGAGAAUUAACACAAAAGCAAGUAGAGAAAGCACAGAGCAGUGUGAGUCUGUGCCAGGCGACACAUCUGACACACAAGAUUCCACCGCAAAGUCGAACCAGG